GGCCUGUCAAAAACUGGCGCUUUUUUCCUCCCCUUUCCGUGGAGAGACUAUCAACUCCAUCUGUCACAAAAAUUAAGGCUAAAUCUCCUCUCCAGAAGCAGAGGGAGCCGGGGCUCCGACGCGCUCAGCGUCGGGCUGUCCGCCUCUCCCUAGAGGCCAAGUGAAUUUGAAAUGGCAAAAGUCACAGCCGGAGGCCCAGCACUAGGAGAUUCCUCCGGCUGCGGGAAGUCUUCCUGUACCUGCUGAAGCUGCUGCGUCCCUCAGAGGCGCUUGGUCUGCCGUGGGAAGCUGCACCUCUGCAGUCCCCAAAACCAAAAUCAAACCUUAAAAGAGCCAGACUGAGAAGCCAGUCACCACGUAAGACAUCUGGACCACCUUCAGACUCGCAUGCUGUGAGGAAGCCCAUGCUUACUAUGUGUAGAGGAUACAUGGAGAAGGAAAGAGAUGCCUGGCCAGCUCCCUGCUGUUUCAGCCAUGUGAGUGAAGAAGGCACCAGACUUGUGAGUGGAGACACUAACUUGGAUGUCCAGCCCAGUUGAACCUUCAGAUGACUCCAGCUCUAGCUGCCAUCCUACUGAAGACACAUGAGAGAGACCCCAAGCCAGGGUCAAGAUCAGCGUGAAGCAAGUGAGGCAUUUUGGUGCAAAAUGUAAGGAGGCAUUGACCUUCAUAAUUGGGCUCCAAGACUCCAAGAGUGAGUGCCUCCUUAAAUUUUGUACUUUAGACACUACACUCACCUUUCUCUAGUUCUGGUCUUGCCUCAAGCAAGAAGAGCAGAGCUUAGCUCAGUCAACCCAAAGAAUCCUAAGAAAUAACAAAAAAAAUUCUUUUAAGCCACUCAGUUUUGAGAUGGUUUGUUAUGCAACAAUAGAGCAUUAGAACUUUUCUUCCUGUCCAAUUGCUUAGGUGAAAGAUGCUAGUAUCCACCUGAAUUCUUUCCUUUUCUUCACAUUCUACAUUCAAUUAAUGGCUCAUCAUAGGUGUCAAUA
rnacentral:lncRNA from 1 species